UGGAAGACUAGUGAUUUUGUUGUUCGGCAUAAAGACCGGUAACAAAAAAUCUCUAGUUCACCUA
rnacentral:pre_miRNA from 2 species